AUCAUAGUUAUCCUACUUGGAUAACUGUAGUAAUUCUAGAGCUAAUACAUGCAACUAAGCCUGUCCUUUGCGGGACGGGCGCACUUAUUAGAUCAAAACCAACCGGACUUCGGUCUGACGGUUUGAUGACUCUGGAUAAUUUACCUGAUCGCACGGCCUUUGUGUCGGCGACGUAUCUUUCAAAUGUCUGCCCUAUCAACUUUUGAUGGUAGGUAAUUUGCCUACCAUGGUUAUAACGGGUAACGGGGAAUCAGGGUUCGAUUCCGGAGAGGGAGCCUGAGAAAUAGCUACCACAUCCAAGGAAGGCAGCAGGCGCGCAAAUUACCCACUCCCGAAACGGGGAGGUAGUGACGAUAAAUAACGAUGCGGGACUCAAUCGAGGCCCCGUAAUUGGAAUGAGUACACUUUAAAUCCUUUAACGAGGAUCAAUUGGAGGGCAAGUCUGGUGCCAGCAGCCGCGGUAAUUCCAGCUCCAAUAGCGUAUAUUAAAGUUGUUGCAGUUAAAAAGCUCGUAGUUGGAUCUCAGGAUUUGGAUGGAUGGUUCGCUUUCGGGCGCUACUAUCUGUCUGACCUACUCUAGUCGUGGAUGCCUUGGGUGCUCUUAAUUGAGUGCUUUUGGUGCCCGACGCAAUUACUUUGAAAAAAUUAGAGUGCUCAAAGCAGGCGUAUUGCCUGAAUAGUGUUGCAUGGAAUAAUGAAAUAGGAGUUUACUUCUAUUUUGUUGGUUUUCGGAGGUGAACUAAUGAUUAACAGGGACAGACGGGGGCAUUUGUAUGGAGGGGUUAGAGGUGAAAUUCUUGGAUCCUCUCCAGACAAACUACUGCGAAAGCAUUUGCCAGGAAUGUUUUCACUAAUCAAGAACGAAAGUCAGAGGUUCGAAGACGAUCAGAUACCGUCCUAGUUCUGACCAUAAAUGAUGCCAUCUAACAAUCCACGAAGUUUGCUUGUACGAACUCGUGGGCGGUCCCCGGGAAACCAAAGAUUUUGGGUUCCGGGGGAAGUAUGGUUGCAAAGCUGAAACUUAAAGGAAUUGACGGAAGGGCACCACCAGGAGUGGAGCCUGCGGCUUAAUUUGACCCAACACGGGAAACCUCACCCGGCCCGGACACUUUUAGGAUUGACAGAUUGAAGGCUCUUUCUUGAUCAAGUGGUUGGUGGUGCAUGGCCGUUCUUAGUUGGUGGAGCGAUUUGUCUGGUUAAUUCCGAUAACGAACGAGACUCUACUCUGCUAAAUAGAACGUUGAUAUAUAAAAGUCAGUGCUGACUUCUUAGAGAGAC
rnacentral:rRNA from 1 species